rnacentral:rRNA from 1 species
UACGUAGGGUGCAAGCGUUGUCCGGAAUUAUUGGGCGUAAAGAGCUCGUAGGCGGUUUUGUCACGUCUGCUGUGAAAACUGGAGGCUCAACCUCCAGCUUGCAGUGGGUACGGGCAGACUAGAGUGCGGUAGGGGAGAUUGGAAUUCCUGGUGUAGCGGUGAAAUGCGCAGAUAUCAGGAGGAACACCGGUGGCGAAGGCGGGUCUCUGGGCCGAUACUGACGCUGAGGAGCGAAAGCGUGGGGAGCGAACAGG